UAGCCUUUUAAUUGGAGGCCUGCAUGAAUGGCUUGACGAGCGCCCUGCUGUCUCUCUUCCCAUGAACUUUUAAAUUAACUUUCGCGUGCAAAGGCGCGAAUGGCUGAGUUAGACGAAAAGACCCUAUGCAUCUUUACUGAGAGAGAAGAAAGUUCUUUAGCUUGGUUUAGCUGGGGCAGCUGAGGAAAAGGCAAAAUUUCCUUAAUAUAAAUCAUACUGGUGGGUUUAGAUCCAGGCUCUUUAGCGGGCUUGACAAGUAGAAAAGUUACGCUAGGGAUAACAGCGUUAUCCUUCUGUGGAGGUCUUAUCUGCAGGAGGGAUUGCGACCUCGAUGUUGAAUUAGGGAUAUACCAGAAAGGCGCAGAAGCUUUUAUUGUGGGUC
rnacentral:rRNA from 1 species